rnacentral:rRNA from 1 species
AAUCAACGCUGGCGGCGUGCCUCAGACAUGCAAGUCGAACGCGAAAGUUCCCUUCGGGGGAUAAGUAGAGUGGCGUCCGGGUGAGUAACACGUAGGUAAUCUACCUUUGGGUGGGGAAUAACAACCGGAAACGGUUGCUAAUACCGCAUAAUGCAGCGGCACCACAUGGUGACAGUUGUUAAAGCGGGGGAUCGCAAGACCUCGCGCCUAAAGAGGAGCCUGCGGCGGAUUAGCUAGUUGGAGGGUAACGGCCUACCAAGGCAACGAUCCGUAGCCGGCCUGAGAGGGCGGUCGGCCACACUGACACUGAAAUACGGGUCAGACUCCUACGGGAGGCAGCAGUCGGGAAUUUUGGGCAAUGGGCGAAAGCCUGACCCAGCAACGCCGCGUGAAGGAUGAAAUCCCUCGGGAUGUAAACUUCG